rnacentral:rRNA from 1 species
UACGUAGGGCGCGAGCGUUGUCCGGAAUUAUUGGGCGUAAAGAGCUCGUAGGCGGUUUGUUGCGUCGGAUGUGAAAGCCCGGGGCUUAACCCCGGGUCUGCAUUCGAUACGGGCAGACUGGAGUGUGGUAGGGGAGAUCGGAAUUCCUGGUGUAGCGGUGAAAUGCGCAGAUACCAGGAGGAACACCGGUGGCGAAGGCGGAUCUCUGGGCCAUUACUGACGCUGAGGAGCGAAAGCGUGGGGAGCGAACAGG